rnacentral:rRNA from 1 species
CGCUGGCGGCGUGCCUAACACAUGCAAGUCGAGCGGUAUAUACUGGAACGAAACUUCGGUCUAGAGAAGGUAUAGAGAGCGGCGGACGGGUGAGUAACGCGUAGGCAACCUGCCCCAUACAGAGGGAUAGCCUCGGGAAACCGGGAUUAAAACCUCAUAACACGGGGAGUUUCACAUGUUACUUUCGUCAAAGAUUUAUCGGUAUGGGAUGGGCCUGCGUCUGAUUAGCUAGUUGGUGAGGUAACGGCUCACCAAGGCAACGAUCAGUAGCCGACCUGAGAGGGUAAUCGGCCACAUUGGAACUGAGACACGGUCCAAACUCCUACGGGAGGCAGCAGUGGGGAAUAUUGCACAAUGGGCGAAAGCCUGAUGCAGCAACGCCGCGUGAGCGAUGAAGGCCUUUGGGUCGUAAAGCUCUGUCCUUGGGGAAGAAAAAAAUGACGGUACCCUUGGAGGAAGCCCCGGCUAACUACGUG